rnacentral:misc_RNA from 1 species
AUGUUGGGGUCGGGCCACAGUGUCGGACAGUCCUGUGGCCGCUACGCGCUACGUUGGUCGAUUUUUUCAGUUUGUUGUGGCCGCGUCCGUAGGUGAGUAUUUCGAUUCUUUCGCGUGUGCUUUAUAUAAACACUAGAGAAGCAAACGGCCGGCUGUGAAUAUCAAGUGCUGAUAAAACGCUGUUGAAUAUUCUCUAGUAAAAAUGAGUGCCGAAGAGGAAGUACUGAGGAUUCAGAAGAAGCUGAAUAAAAUGUCGAGCGGCGACGGGACGGGGCAGGAGCAGGCCUUGGAACUCUUAAAGGUACUACAAAAGCUGCGAGUAAACUUGGAGCUAUUGACUAAAACAAGAAUAGGUAUGACGGUGAAUGCACUGAGAAAGUCGAGCAAGGACGACGAAGUUAUUGCCCUGUCAAAAACACUGAUCAAAAACUGGAAGAAGUUCUUAUCCGGACCCAACAAAGAUGGCAAGGAAUCAAGUUCAUCUAGCAGCUCCAAAAAAAAGGACGAAAAGGUGGACAAGGUGAAAGAUGAAGGGGAUCCGAAAAAGGAAAAACCAGAUAUCACUGAUAGCGGAGAUUCAAAGUCACGGGAAGAUAAAAGUGGUAGUAAGGAUUCACAGAGGAAGCAAGCAUCCUUUCCAGCGGCAACCACUACAGAUGCAGUAAGAUUAAAGUGUAGAGAAUUAUUGGCUGCUGCAUUGCGGGUUGAUGGAGGCGCAAUCGAAGGGUGUGCUACUCCUGAGGAGCUUGCUGAAGAAUUGGAGGAGGCGAUCUAUGCUGAGUUCAGAAAUACUGAUAACAGAUACAAGAACCGAAUACGCAGUAGAGUUGCAAAUUUGAGGGAUGCAAAAAACCCGACUCUGAGAACGAAUUUCUUGGUCGGUGCAAUUACGCCCGGUCGUCUGGCUGUAAUGACAGCGGAAGAGAUGGCAAGUGACGAGAUAAAGCAGUUAAGAGAGCAAUUCAAGAAAGAGGCUAUAAAUGAUGCGCAGCUAGCUACUGUCCAGGGAACUAAGACAAGUCUGUUGAAGUGUGGAAAAUGCAAGAAACGGAAUUGCACCUACAACCAAGUUCAGACAAGAUCGGCUGAUGAACCUAUGACCACAUUUGUCCUCUGUAACGAAUGUGGAAACAGAUGGAAGUUCUGCUGAAAUAAUUCGGUACUGCAUCGCCACUUUUAUCUUUUUAACAAAUAUAUUUUCCAAGAAACUUUCAGCUUAUCAGAAUGUGGCAUGGUAGAAUUAUGGUUGCUGAAUAUCAGCAGCACUUGCCACUUGCGAAUAACUGGUUCUACAAUUCAUUUAUUCGUAAACGGCAUUGAUUUCCUGGUCAUGCACAUUCCCUUAAAUCGAGGGCAAUGAUGCAAAGAAUUUGUCAAAUUUCCGCGUAUCCCCAACUAUUGUUUUGUGUUUGUCGUCACGCCACUGUUUCUUUUUGAAACUAAUCGUAAUCAUGUUUUUCGAUUUGUCGAGCAAUCACGAUAAUAUAUUGUUUGUGUGUAACAUAGCAGGCGAGUGCUGAAUCACAGAAAACGAGGAAACUAUGUUUUUUGAUUCGCUGUAAAUGUAUUUUGAAUUGCCAGGUCGUCAAUGUAUCUGUAUCAGCAUCUGUCAGCUUGAAAGAAAUAAAUUUCACGUCCUGGGUAUUGUACCGAUCGAUUAUGCAACAGAAUCUAGCAGCACGCACACCAAUUUAGGACAUACACAACCAUCACCAUUCAGCAACUCCUACCCUGACGCUAUCCACAUGAGGUUUUAUUUUUCCCUCAGCUGCAAGGUCCAGAACAUGAACAUGCCCUAGAAGUGAGGCUCCUGGAGG